rnacentral:misc_RNA from 1 species
CCUGCGAGCUUCCUCCAAGUCCAAGAAAAGCUGAGGGUCGAGUUCAGCAUUCCAGUUGAUUUGAUCUUUGUACAUAUCAGGACUUGGUAGAGGAAACAAUUUGCAUGGAAGGCGGUUCUUUGCCCAGAACCGUUUCUUGGCCUGUUGAAAGGACUCCUUACCUGCGGAAUCGUACCAUUCCAUGAUUUUUGUAAAUUUUGAUGCGUCUUGCUUUGCGUACAAGAAAAUUUUCCACUUCAUUCCUCCCACAUCCAAGCAGAAUCGUUUCUCCCAUGCCGGAACAAAAUCUGUAUGAUAUUGAUGCUGUUGGUUUCCUGGCAUGGUUUCUCAGAAAAAGAUUAGUCCUAAGAACUAUAGAGAGGGAGUUAACUAAUCGCUACUCUUUUAAGUUUACCAAGUGAAACUACAACGUUAUUUAUAAGCGAAGGAUUGGUGUAAUUUGGGUAGAAAUAGAUUACUCUUUCCCGUUUGGAUUUGGAUUACAAUAUCAAAAGCAAAGUUUUCUUUCCAAUACCCACAGCGCUUGGGUAAACCAUCUUAUGGUAAAGGAUCAAUUAUUCAAUAUUAUUAGAGUUAUUUAUGCUUUUCACUUUCCAUAUAUUUUUGCAUUGCUUAAGUGGGUAAUUUUAAGUAAUAACUUUUACAUUACUGAAAAAUAAAUGCACCUAAAAUAUUUUAAAAAUUUAACUUCUCAUGAAGACACAGAGAACUUCAAUAGUAAUAAAAUAAUUAUUAAAUGCUCAUAAGUGCAAUGUAAUCUACGAAUUUCUUUGGAGGGUAGAGUAGUUCAAUCAAAUUAGCACAUUAUUUCCUCUUUGUCCUCAAAAGAACUAUCUCCCAAUUUUCUGUAGUUCUAAAUGGGAAGCUCUCAGAGUCUUUGAUGAAUCUGUCAUUUCUGUCACCUGAAAUGUAAUACAGGAUACUCGCACGGCUGCUUACAAAGUUAUUUGAGCCUGGAAAUUUGAAAUCAGAGAUUAAGAGCUUUCAAGACCUGGAUCUUUACCUUAGAAUAUUAGAGGUGUACUGCAGCGACUGUGUAGAAAAAACUUGAACUUGGAUAGCGUUUCGACAAUUUUCACACAUAUAUUCCUAAGCCGAGUUCUUUUGGUUCGGUUUCCACCAUCCAUGGUGGCUUAUUCAUUAUAAAGUUGAUUGUUCCUUCUGCAGCACGUUGGAGAAGAACUUCCCUUGCCUCAAUUGCGAUACCUUCAGGCUCUUCUGGAAACCAGACCCCUGGCUGCGUGCUUCCUUCAAGAACUGCAAGAACAAAAGCAGCAGUUGCAUUCCCCACAGAUACAGAUAGUCUCCUAUGACUAAAUAUGCCAAGUGUAUUGCGGCCAUCAGUGCACUCCAAAUCAACCCUCAUUGAUACUCGUUCACCAGCAAUCCUAUCAACUGCUCGGACUACAGGAUCAAACAAUUGAACCAAUUGUUGGACUUUGCUUCUGUCCCUUAGAUAUUCCUGCAAUAUUUAAAUAAAUUGCAUAAUCGCAUCAAUCUUCUGGAAUUAGAUGGCUCUUUGAAUUGAAGGAUUCCUUACAGUUUUCAGUCACUGAAAGUUGCUAUAUACAAAGACAACUCAAUAGGAACAAAAUCAUAGGACACUUAAAAUACAAGGCUAGAGGCAACAAACUCUCAGCUUUGGAAGUGCAUACUGGAGGAAGAAGAUUUGUCAUGGCUUCCAUUCCCCAAUUCCAGAAGAAAGGUGCAGUUCCAAAUCGAGCACUAACAGUUGGUACUCCUAGAACCUCAUAAGCACUUUGUACCUCCGGCAAGUUCCUGAAAAUAAAGUUAUAUUCACUAGAACAACAACAGCAGCAGGCAAACAGCUGCACAUUAUUUGAUUCAAGGAGGCAAGAGAAUUUUAUUUAGGAACUGGAAGUUACGAAGUUUAUCCCAGAUGGUAUGUCACCAAUAUAUGGGCACAACCAGCGACUGUACAUUUUCUGCUGGAAGUGGAAACAGUGAAGGCUAUGCUUCUCAUAUUUUAUUCAUUCCGUGGUUAGGGAUAAGAGCAUCCCUAAAAAUUUUGCAAUUCUUAAGUAUGCAAUGUGAAAAUUUCUACAUGAGUAAUUAAUACAACCACAUUGAUAUUAUAAUCAGAAUUGGUUUAACAGUAUAGGAUGCUUAAGCACUGUGAUUAGUGCGGAUAUGAUUACCUUCAUGAAUAGAUAACUCCAAACAAAGAAAUGAAAGUUUUUACGGCUCUUUGAGGAAUUUCUUUCAAAGAGAACUUACAACAGAUAAACAUCUCUUUUUCCAAUCCCUUUGCCAAAGUCAAUGUUGAGCAUUCCACUAUAUGGCUUCAGUUUGACCUUUUCUCCUUUACUAUAUGCAACAACCUCCUCGCCAAGAAGCAAGAAACUAGUAGCUAAUAUGGUUGGACCAGCACCACCAGUUCCCGCUGUGUAGUAAUGGAACCUCAGCCUCUCUGGCUUCCCUUUGCUUUCUGUUCUAGCAACACGAACUAGCUCUGCUGCCAUCACUGUCACAAUAUUCAUUAGAAAAUUUGUGUGUGAUCCAACAAAAAUAAAUUUGCAAAUAUAAGGAAGCUUUCCCUACUUAAAAAUGUCAAAUCUGUCUCACUUGUACAUAAUAUAAUUUCUCACGUAAUUCAGCUGGUGUUCUCACAUUUGCUAGUUUGAAGUCCAGAACUCCAAAUCGAGGAUUUGCAUAAGGUUGCCAGUGGCACAACCUUCAUGCAGACCGUAUGAGCAUGAAUCCAAGAAAAGAUUCAGAAACUCAAAUAAACAAGCAUAGUUGAGCUACAAUUUCAAAGAAGUCAUCUCAAAACAACAAAACCAAUUACUUCGAUUUGCACAUGUAUUCAAAAGGAUUUAGAUCUAUGAUCCAUUGAUCAGUCCAAAGCCACAACACAAGAUAAGUUACACUAAUAUGCCCAUAAAAUUCACCAAUGAUAAGUUUGAUUGGAAAUUUAUAUGGCAUGGAUUUCACACUGGGAAACUAAUACCCCACAUUGUCCAAGUAAAUAGUCUAAAAGUAAAAUCACAAAUCAAGAAUGCAGUUAUUGUACCAUUGCUUACUCCAGGAUAGAUUCCACCAGAUGUUAUGGCAGGAACGUUAGCAGCUAAAGCUCUUUCCUUGAAGGAUUUUGCACGUAGUGCAUAGCUUGUAUCAUCACAAACAUCAACAUAUGCGGUCUGUUGGAAGAGAAAAAAGACAGUCGUAAGAUAAUACCCUGUAACUAACGUAUCAUAUACACAAAUCAGAAGAUCCAACUUCAACGUUGGAAUGCAGACACUUAUUACCUUGCCUCACCUUGGUCUCUAUGGCAGCUUCAAGAACACUGCAUUUCUCUGCCUGUUGAAAAGGUCCUGCAGCAUGAACCACAAGAUCCACAUCUGCAGAGGAACUGAUACAGUUACAGGAUGCCUGAAGAAUGUUCUUUAAUUAUAUCAUGCUUCCAAUUCGUGGGCAUCAAUUAAUACCAGUAUUUCACAUUCUUUUCAAAAAUCUUGAUCAAUUAAUGGCAUAAAACUGGAUUCUUUAAAGAUAUGUUAUCUUGGCUCAUAAAGGUAGAACUAGUUGCUUUAAAAUUGAAGUAAAUACAGAAGAGGGUUAUAUAACUGGAGUAGGAAGAACUACUGCACCACUUAAAGCAGCUUCCAAUGAUUCUACUUUGUCAAUAUUGACUUCAACAAAAUCUGAAUUCUUCCCCAAUUUAGCCACCAUUGCAGUACCUUUUUCCCUAUUCCGACCACCAAUAACAAGUCGAAGGUCAGGGCAGAGCUUGGAGAGAGCAAUGGCGGUGGACCCGCCAACCCGACCCGUUCCACCUAGUACCAAGACCCUCGAGUUCCGGGUCUUAUCGGGAAGUUCAACUCUACCAUUAUCAUGGGUGGUCUCUUUAACGCAGGCCAUCAAGCUUGUGCUCUUCCAGUGAAACAGAGCUCGCGCCAUUUCUCUCUCUCUCUCUCU